rnacentral:lncRNA from 1 species
UUCCUUCAAUCAUGCAUGUUUCUGAGUUGAACCAUAAUAAACCCGUUGAACACAGUAAUCCUACGGUUCCUCCAAGUUUUGAUUUCCCUGUGUAUGAAGCCGAAGAUGAGGAGGGUGAUGACAUACCAUAUGAGAUCACUCGGUUACUUGAGCAGGAAAAGAAAGCCAUUCAGCCUCACCAGGAAGAGAUUGAGCUUAUCAACAUAGGUACCGAGGAAAACAAGCGAGAAAUCAAGAUUGGUGCUACUCUAAAGGAAGGGGUUAAACAGAAGAUUGUCCAGCUCCUCCGGGAAUAUCCGGAUAUUUUUGC